GCGGGGCGCCGGGCGGCCGCGCGCGGGGUGCAAGCCCUGCGGGAGGAAAGUCCGGACUCCACGAAGCGACGGUGCCGGGUAAUGCCCGGGCGGCGCAAGCCGACGGAAAGCGCCACAGAGAAGAAACCGCCUCGGGUCCGCCCGGGGCAAGGGUGAAACGGUGGGGUAAGAGCCCACCGGGGGGGCGGCAACGUCCCCCGCACGGCAAGCCCCACCGGGAGCAAUGCCGAAUAGGGGCCGCAGACGGGGUGCUUCGCCUCGCGGUCCGGGUUGGCAGCUUCAGGUUCCGCGGCAACGCGGGAUCGAGAUGAAUGGUCGCCCAUCCGGGCUCGCCCGGGGGACAGAAUCCGGCUUACAGGCGCCCCGCAUAU
rnacentral:RNase_P_RNA from 1 species